AAAUUGUUAUGUAUUUUAAAAAUGUUCCAUUCUUUUAAAAAAUGAUUAAAGAGAGAUCAUUUAAUUAUUUUGUGAUGUCUUUAGGAUGGGACAGCGAUAUGUCCUCAAUCCUUUUGCAGCUGCAUCUGCUCCCUCCAACCUCAAGAGGCCAGAAAAAAAAAUAUCCAAGAUCAGUUCAGCUCAAGCAACCAGCCAUCUUGUGAGCUAUCUUAAGGAAGGAGCCAGUGUGACUACCUUCAUUGAGAGUGCUGACACAAGACAACCAUUCCUCCUCUGUAUCAGUGAGCGAAAGAAGGAUAUCCCAAAGUUCUACAUUAUUAUCGACCCAAAACUGAUCCCAUAGCAAAGCAGAGCCCGCGUGUUAAAGAACUUCGAGCACGAUUGCUGCAGCGAGAUUAACAGCCUUGAAGAUGUUCACGUGUUUUAAUACCGCUGCUGGGAAAUUGCCGUUCCCGAGGUUGGGCACACGAGGGCAGUCAAGCUCCA
ensembl:lncRNA